GCUGUUAAAUAUUGCACUUACAUAAAAAAAUGCAUGCACUUCAAAUAGUAGUCUAAAAGCCAAGGUGCAGAAUGACAAAUCUCCUAUUAACGCCAAUAUAAAGGUAUGUAUAUGCAAAUUUUGAUCUAUUAAUUGACAACCAUCAAAACUCGACGAAAUUACACGAAAAAUGUGUAAAUGUCAUCAAAUCAAUUAACGACAGUUUUAUUAUGCCAUGUGCGUGUUCAUAAAAAAAGAAGCGGAAAGGUGACAAAACAAGUCAAGAUUAUAAGCGCAUGUUGUAGUGAUCGCACUGCCAUGAUCUAAACUAGAUAAACAAAGUAUGCGCGAGCAUUAUCGAUACUCCGAAAUCUAGAUCCCGCAGACUGUGGACGUAAGCUCCCAGGCAUCCGCGCUCCCCGCACUGGGUCGCUCGAGAUCGCUAGCUAAUCUGCCUGCGAUCCGUAGAUCGCCAUCGACUCGAAUCAAGCACACAUGAUUAUCUAACGCGAACGCUCUUCAGGCAAGCGCGAUAAGCGCUCCCGGAGGAGGGGUAAUCGUUUCAUAAUUUAUUUGACAUUGAUAAUAGCCCCUUGUUCGGAGCUUUCCAACAAAAAACAUAAUUCCUUUAUCUGAUAAUUCUGGCCAAUUAUAUUGGAAACAUGAGUGUGGGUGCAGAUAUCGCGUUUUGCUUUGUCUUCAUCGAAGCGCUGAUUUCAUUAGUCAGGGCGCGCUGUACGGAUAAAGCUGGACGGACCGCAUUGUUUGCCUGGGGCAACAAGCUGGGUUGCGAGGUGGAACACCAAAACAAACACUCUUGUCACGUUAUCACAUCACAAAAAUAUCGAAUCUGCGGAAAUUAUAAUUAAAAUUCAUGUUCAUGCAACUGUUAGUAUAUUGGUGCGGGUAUCGAUGUCUCGCGAGUUGUUUUGUAUUUUGUUGUGUUCUAGCGUGGCAGCUUGACGAGGGUCCCGAGAAAUUUGUGCAAACUCCUCACCAACGUUAUCAAGGCCCCCAGAAUUCUCGCUUUCUUCACCUUGAGCAAAAAUUCCGACGGUAGAAGCUGGCGCGCUUUUCUAACCUGAGAGUCGAUUUCGGACAGGACUCUCACUACAAGAUUCUGGUGUAGAAACGUCACAAUUGUACAGUGAUAGGCACCAAUGGAGGAUAUAAUGGAGAAAAAUGCUUUCUAUGAUAAUUAGAAGCAGUUCAGGAGAUGCUUCCUAAGGGUUCCUCCGGCAUGGUCUUGAUGACCGUAAAAACAAUGGUGAACUGUGUGCAGAUUUUUGUCACUUCAACCGCACAGUAAUCGAUGCAACACUGUUCGAGCACAAGGCCUGGCAGAAGAUUAGUUGUAUUUCGACCAACCGGCAAGAAAUAUCUAAUGAGAUUAACUAUAUCCAGAUCAGUAGUAGGUUAAGGAGCUGUCCUACGAAUGUGCUUAACAAAAGUGGUACUAACACCAGCACAACUUAGUUUUCUACCUGACAGACCAUGCUAAUAUGAACCUACUGUAAAAAGUACCGUUAAAAAUAUUUCGUAUCACAUUGGGAGCACCGUGAUCUGUAAUUACCAUUAACCAAAAGUGUCAUUGAAGAAUAUGGUAUAGAGAGUAUUAUCAACGGAAAUGAUUGGCUAAUUACCGAAAGUAAAGAAUGAACAGCGGGAAGCUAGUGGAUUCAGGCUAUUACUGCGUAGAUACAUGUUAAAU